rnacentral:rRNA from 1 species
UACGGAGGGGGCUAGCGUUGUUCGGAAUUACUGGGCGUAAAGGGCUCGUAGGUGGCCAACUAAGUCAGACGUGAAAUCCCUCGGCUUAACCGGGGAACUGCGUCUGAUACUGGAUGGCUUGAGUUUGGGAGAGGGACGCGGAAUUCCAGGUGUAGCGGUGAAAUGCGUAGAUAUCUGGAGGAACACCGGUGGCGAAGGCGGCGUCCUGGACCAACACUGACACUGAGGAGCGAAAGCCAGGGGAGCAAACGGG